rnacentral:rRNA from 1 species
AGACCCGAAACCGGGCGACCUACCCAUGAGCAGGAUGAAGCGAAAGUAAAAUUUCGUGGAGGUCCGAACCCACGAGCGUUGAAAAGCUCGGGGAUGACUUGUGGGUAGCGGUGAAAUUCCAAUCGAGCCCGGAGAUAGCUGGUUCUCCCCGAAAUAGCUUUAGGGCUAGCCUCAAGGUGAGAGAUACGGAGGUAGAGCACUGAAUGUCCUAGGGGGUAUUGCACCUACCGAAGACUAUCAAACUCCGAAUGCCGUCAUCUUAUACUUGGGAGUCAGACUGUGGGUGAUAAGAUUCAUAGUCGAAAGGGCAACAGCCCAGAUCGUCAGCUAAGGUCCCUAAAUGUAAGUUAAGUGGUAAAGGAUGUGGGAUUGCACAGACAACCAGGAUGUUGGCUUAGAAGCAGCCACUCAUUCAAAGAGUGCGUAAUAGCUCACUGGUCGAGUGAUCCUGCGCCGAAGAUUUCCGGGGCUAAAACUUACUACCGAAGCUACGGCAUCAGUAAUGAUGGGUAGGGGAGCUUCCCAUACGGGUUGAAGCAUGACCGUAAGGACAUGUGGACAGUAUGGGAGUGAGAAUGUUGGCAUGAGUAGCGAGAUGUGGGUGAGAAUCC